AAUGUUUACAGAUAUUUAUAUAUUGCAUAUUAAGCCAUAUAACACUUUGAAUAUUUUUUUUUUUUAUUUUGGGGAUAUUUCUAUUAGAAUUUAGAAUUUAAUAAAGUUAUGUUCAAGAGAAAAAAAACAAUCUAUAUUCCAAUAAGAAAUUAUUUAACUAAAUAAUUGACAUUUUUAUGUUAAUUCUUCUUUGGUUGUGUUGACUAAUAAUUUUUUUGGUUGUCAUGUUGUUUUUAAAAUUUAUUCUUUGGUGUCACAGUUGUGUGUAGGUCGAGAUGGAUAAUAAGAAAUUGUUAGAUUUGAUAAAAGGUUUUUCUGAGCAGAGUUGCAAAGUUGAAGAGUUACGUCAAAAGGUGUCACUUAUAAAGUCAAAGAUGUGUUGUGCCUAUAAUCUUUAUCGUUUUCAUGAAGAUUGUUGCAAGUCUGAUGAUGUGUUAUUGAGAACAUCAGUUGCAUUAUUUGAAGAUUCGGUGAACUCGAAAUUAUGUAGUCAUAUGGAACCUUCUACGGAAAAUGGCAAAUUUUUGAAAUUGGUAGAAGAUAUUGUAGGAUUUAGCAGUAGUGAUCUUGAUGUUUCGAUUAUACCUAAUGUGAAAGAUGAAAAAAUAUUGGUAAAUAAGGUGGAUGAAAAUAGUUUGAAUGUUAGUUGUGGUAAAAAGUAUUGCAUUGGUGAUGACAAUGUUCAGUUUGAAGACAGUGGGAAGAAUAAAAAAGUGUCUUUUGAAAAGGAAUCAUCAAUGUUGGAUGAAUGGAAUUGUUUCGAGACGAAUGAUGGAGACUGUAUGGAAGGGGGGUUGUUCAAAUCUAAGGUGUUAGUAUCAACAAAAGAUAAGGAGUCAAUAUCAAAUAAAACGAGAUUUGCGCAAGGAUAUGGAUGUUCCGAUCCAUAUGUUAAGGAAGAGAAAGAGUUAGUAGCUAUUCAUGUUGGUUCUGGAUUUGAUUUAAACUUAUAUGAUAUUACUCAGUUUGAGUUGUCUGCAUUGGUAAGUGGGUAAUUAUUUUUAUUUUAUUCUUUUUCUUGUAUAAAUAUACAUUUUAGUAGUGUGUGUAAAUGUGUUAAAAUUUAUAUAUAUAAAUAUAUAUAUAUUAGGAUGGCAAAGUAAAAUUGGCUUGUGAGAGAAGCGAGGAGCAUCGUAAGUUUUCAAAAAUUUCUGCAUUGUAUCUAGUAGUUUGUUCGACACCCUGUUUUAUUGAAGAGUCCUCAUUUUCUUCUUGCGAAGAAGGUGUGACUAAAUAUAUAUUUGACAACUCACUGAAUUGUAGGUAAGUAAAAACUAUUAUCUCUUAUUAAGAAUUAUGUUUGUAACUUAAUUUGUCAACAAUAAUUGUGUUACUUUAAUUAUUUUUGUGUUUUCCUUUUGUAGGGAAGUUUUAUAUUUGAGUGAAAGAGUCGUGGGCCGGAGAGAAGACUUUCUAUCACUGAAUGCUAAUACAUUGAUCGGGACAAGGGUUCGUUGAAUAAAUAUUGGCUCAAAGUAUUGCUUUAAUUUUUUAUUUUAUUCUUACCUAUUGUUUGAUAAAUAAUUUUGCAGGUGGUGAACAUGGUAGUAGAUUUAUUGUGUGACUAUGAGGCUAAGCUAAGAGGACAUUCCAUGAAAUUUUGGUUUAUACCGACGAGUAUUUCUGUUAGUGUUAAUUUUUCUUAGUCAAUUAUAGAUAGUAAAUGGUUUUAGAUUGAGGUUAUAUAAAUCUUUGAAUAUUAUGUCAAAGACCCUAUCUUGAAGAAGGUGCAAUUAAAGAUCCUACUAAUCUGCGAAGAUGGGUUGGGGAUAUAUCAGUUUGUGAGAAGAUAUUUAUGCCCCUUUUAGCAAUGCGUCAUUGGUUAUUAGCUAUUGUUAGUAUUGUUGAUGAAAGUGUAUAUGUUUAUGAUGACCUCCGUGUGGUGACUCCUGCGUUAGGAUUGGAAAUUAUCAGUGAUUUUCUUGUGAUAUUGGAUUUAGCGUUUCCUAAUGCUUUUAGCAUACAUCUUGGUAGGAGUUUCAAGUUUGAGAAGUUCAUUAUUAUGCAAAAGCCAUUUCAUAAGAAGCAAUGUGUAGAUUAUGAUUGUGGUAUAUAUGUGAUACAACUUAUGAGAGCUGCUUACACAAAUGGUCAAAUAUGUGUACACGUAUGUUUCUGAAUUAUUCUAUUUUUUUAUUUAUUUAUUUUAUUUGUUUUUAAAGCCAACAUUAUUAUUAUUUUUAA